rnacentral:rRNA from 1 species
CCUUUUGUUUAUUUAUAUAAGGUCUAACCUGCCCAAUGAGGAAUUCAAUGGCCGCAGUAUUUUAACUGUGCUAAGGUAGCAUAAUCAUUUGUCUUUUAAUUGAGGGCUGGAAUGAAAGGUUGGACGAGAUAUUAGCUUUCUUUGGUUUAAUUUUGGGAAUUUAAUUUUUGAGUUAAAAAGCUUAAAUUUAUUUGUUGGACGAGAAGACCCUAUAGAUCUUUAUAAUUUUAUAUUUUAGUAAUUUAGUGUGUGUGCUUAUUUUAAGUAAAAGAAUUAUUUGGUUGGGGUGACUGUAGAAUUUCAAUAACUUCUAUUUUAUUUAUUUCAUUGAUUGAUGUAUUUUUGAUCCAUAUUUUUAUGAUUAAAAGAUUAAG